rnacentral:lncRNA from 1 species
CUAAAAUAAAUAUUAUAUUGAAGGGCCUCAUAAUAACUACAUGCCUAGGGCCUCUAAAUUCUCAUGGCCGGCCUUGAGAAUUAGAAAGAGCAUUCAUCAAGCUAAUCAGGUGCUUUUCUUUUAUUCAUAUUGUUUGUUAUGAUUAAGUCCUUGGUAUCAUAGCAACCCUGUUCUAAUUAGUUCAUUAACGUUUUAUUUUGAAUUAGGCUAAACUUUUUUCAAUGGACAAUAUGUCAUCCCGUGGAUUAUCCCAUGAUUGCUAUAAGCACUACAAGUUGAAAAGGUAUAAAAAGUUUUAUAAAUGCGAUGGAUGCAAGAUGAAAGGGUUUGGAGAAAGAUACCAAUGCUCUCGCUGUGGCGACUGUCUCCACAGAGAAUGUAGGUACCCCAGAUCCACCAUUACUCACGAGAAUUUUCCUGGCUCUACUUUCAGAUUUUAUAGUAAACCAUGCACAAAACUGGAUAAAAACCAUCGCAGACAGUUUUCGAAGUGCUGCAAUGCAUGUGGAAAGGACAUAUGCGGUUUUAGCUACCACUGUGAAGAAGACAAGUUGGAUUUGCAUCCAUACUGUCGAAAACUUGAAGAUAAAAUAGUGUUUAAGCAUACGAUAUUUGAUCUUGUCACAGAGUCUUCGUCCAAGUGUGUUAAGUGCGGAAAGCAGAAGAUUGAAAAUAGUGAUGUUCAGGGCUGGUCUUAUGUUUCCCAGUGCAAAACGUAUGGUCUUCAUGUGUAUUGUAUGACUGAUAUGAUACAAGAGGCGUAUAUGAAGCAUGAGGAUUUGACAUUGAAGAAAAGUGAUUCACGAGAAUUAGUAAGAUAUAACGGAAAGGGAAAGGGUAAAAAUACCUUCGUCACCUGUGCCAAAUGGGUUAUCAAAAUUCUAUUUUCUACUCUUUUGGGUGAUAUUACGUUGCUGAUAUCCAAUUCCAUCGUGGAGUUUCUCUUUCUUUCCUUGCGACUUUAGUGUCUUUUUCUUCGUCUAUUUUUCAGUGUGGAUGGUGUAAAUAAGUAUUGAUUAAAUAAAUAAAUAACAUCAACCUAUUCAUUGUUUUGUCCCUAGUGGCGACUAUUCAUUGUUGUUGGUCGCCGGACUUCAGUUUGCUUCAAUAUGAUUGUUCGAUAUACAAUUUUAUUUCCUUAUGAUAGUUCCAUCGGUAAACG